GACUGCUCACCAAAAUGGGAGGCAGCCUCUGCUGCUGUGGUGAAGGUGAAGACACACUCAGCGAUUCAGCUCUACAGUAUGCACUCUGGGAUCUCCCAUUUGCUAAGGAAGGAUCUUAGCUUUGAGAAAGUGGCAAGAGAUCCCCUCUUGAGGAGACUCCGCAGGAACACCAGAGAUGAUAGUGACACACAACAACUGAAGGCAGAGGUACAGGCUGAGGAGAAAGAACAUAGUAACCACAAGCCUUAGAAAUGCUGCAGUUCACUAGCACACGCACCUAAGGCACAGCAGCAAACAGGAGCUCAAGGAACAACUUGGGCAUUAGCCUGGUGCCCAUCUCUCCUGCUGGAAUUCCUGCACAGCUGGGAUGGAGAGGGUCAGCGCCCCCACCUGCUGCUUCCAGGAUGGGCUCUCCCAGUGUCAGAGCCAGUGAGAGCCUGAGCAGUAGCAGACUCCCUGGACGCGUGUGUUGAAGAGGGAGACCGGAAGGACAGAUAGCACAUGUGACAUGUCAUGUUUAAAUGGUGUCAAGCCUGUGGCAGCAGAGCUUCCUGGGGAGUCCUCAGAGCAAGUCAUUGCCAUUGUCGAAGUGUCUUCUAGGCUUUAUUUUGGGGCCAUUACCUCGAGCACUGUUUCUUGUCUGGUUUCCUAAUGUCAGCAACUGAAGAAAAGACCUGUAUACACAGGACACAGCAUGGUCUGACGCUCACAGUGUUUUCCUUUCUCUCUGCAGAGGGAUUCAGCACUUUGGGCAAGUGGUUGCACAGAGGAUCCCGUGGAAGAAUUCAUAUAUGAAUCAGAUGAGAAUGCCCCAGGACCAUCGUAGGUCAGGCCACCUGCUUUUGUCAAAGAAAAAAGAUAACCCCUAUUUGAAUUAAAAUAUGAGAAUCUGACCAUAUGUAUCAUAGGUGACUUACACAGUGUCCUUGGUAAGGAGAAUUUAGAGUGAGAGUCUGUUCCCCACUGAGGUUUGAUUUAAGAUGGCAGAAGAAAAUGACAUCAUCAGCCACUCAGCAGCUUGAUUCUCUCCUUGGGGCAAAAUCACUUAAUUGCCAAGCAACAUGGACUUACAGGAAACAUCCUCCAAUAAAAACUUAGGUUUUUAGCAUGA
rnacentral:lncRNA from 1 species